rnacentral:rRNA from 1 species
UUUUUGAAAAUAAUUUAAAGUCUAAUCUGCCCACUGAUAUUAUAUUAAAGGGCUGCAGUAUUUUGACUGUACAAAGGUAGCAUAAUCAUUAGUCUCUUAAUUGGUGACUUGUAUGAAGGAUUUGAUGAAAUAUAAACUGUCUCAUUUUAAUUUAUUGAAUUUAAUUUUUUAGUUAAAAAGCUAAAAUUUAAUUAAAAGACGAGAAGACCCUAUAGAGUUUAAUAAUUUAAUUAGUUAUUAUUUUAUAUAAUUUUUUUUUUUAAAAAUUAAUUAAAUUAUUUUGUUGGGGUGAUAGAAAAAUUUAAUUAACUUUUUAUAAAAAUUAACAUUAAUUUAUGAAUAAAUGAUCCGUAAUUUACGAUUAUAAGAAAAAAUUACCUUAGGGAUAACAGCGUAAUUUUUUUUUUUAGUUCAAAUAAGAAAAAGAGUUUGCGACCUCGAUGUUGGAUUAAGAUAAAAUUUAAAUGCAAAAGUUUAAAAUUUUU